UACGGAGGGUGCGAGCGUUGUCCGGAAUCAUUGGGCGUAAAGGGCGCGUAGGUGGCCCCUCAAGCGUGCGGUGAAAGUCAGGGGCUCAACCCCCGAUCGGCCGUGCGAACUGGGGAGCUUGAGCACUGUAGAGGCAGGCGGAAUUCCGGGUGUAGCGGUGGAAUGCGUAGAGAUCCGGAAGAACACCGGUGGCGAAGGCGGCCUGCUGGGCAGUUUUGCUGACACUGAGGCGCGACAGCGUGGGGAGCAAACAGG
rnacentral:rRNA from 1 species